GAUGAACGCUGGCGGCGUGCUUAACACAUGCAAGUCGAACGGUGAACGAGGGAGCUUGCUCCCUCCGGAUCAGUGGCGAACGGGUGAGUAACACGUGAGCAAUCUGCCCUGGACUCUGGGAUAAGCGUUGGAAACGACGUCUAAUACCGGAUACGAGACGUGAAGGCAUCUUCAACGUCUGGAAAGAACUUCGGUCCAGGAUGAGCUCGCGGCCUAUCAGGUAGUUGGUGAGGUAACGGCUCACCAAGCCUACGACGGGUAGCCGGCCUGAGAGGGUGACCGGCCACACUGGGACUGAGACACGGCCCAGACUCCUACGGGAGGCAGCAGUGGGGAAUAUUGCACAAUGGGCGCAAGCCUGAUGCAGCAACGCCGCGUGAGGGACGACGGCCUUCGGGUUGUAAACCUCUUUUAGCAGGGAAGAAGCGAAAGUGACGGUACCUGCAGAAAAAGCACCGGCUAACUACGUGCCAGCCGCCGCCGUAACAC
rnacentral:rRNA from 1 species